rnacentral:lncRNA from 12 species
CUCAGCUUUCUUUCUGGGGGUGGAUUUUCGUUUUUUGGGGUUUUGGGGGGUUUUUAUUGUUGGUUGUCCCUUUUCCCCCCCUAAGCUUCCUUUGUCCAGUUCCACUCUGCUAGAGUCUGAUUGCUGUCUCCCCUGUGCAGUUUGGAUGCCUCACUCCUCAUGCUCCAGCUCUGAUGCAAGCACUCAGAUGCCGAGUUUGCCAAAGCUGGCACGAGCACCCCGUGCUCGUCUAGACACAGUCUAACUGUGGCACUAGUGCCAGGCUUCCACAGGCUGAGCUCAGCGUUCGUCAGAGCUCUGCCCACGGUCAGCACUUUGAUCUUUAUCCUCGGAAACCACAGCCAUUGACAAAGGUAAAAUGAAUUUCUGACUUUGAAAGACUUUGAUGGCAUUCCCCUGUUUUGGUUUGCAUUUUGGUUUUUUUUUUUUUCUCCUCUCCUUUGCUCUUCCAGCUGAACUUCAUCAUAAAGCUUCUGAUUACAGCUGCAGCUCCAGGACCAGAGAGAGGUCAUGCUGUCUUGCUUUCUGGUGGUUUAAAAUCUGAAGGGGAAGCCCUGGGACACUUCUGAGACAGUCUGCCAGUGAGUGAAAUGUAAACCGUAAUGGGAAUCGGAGAUAGAGGCCCCUCAGGAUCUGGUCUUGUGCCGUCUUUAAAAAAACAAACCAAAACAAAAUCAUCCUUCGUAAGGCCAAGUGCCAAGAGCAGGAGAGAAUGAGAACUAUUUGGUGUUAGAUUUCUAGCUGGAAAUCUGCAGCCUGCCAAGCACUGCUAUUUGUCUCCAUGUCGCACUGGCUGAGCCGAGGCAAGGGCCUUCUAUCAGACAUUGCACAGAAAUGCAGUGCCCUGCCUGGAGGUGCUCCUCAUCACAUAACCAUGGUGAGCAAAUCCAGUGCUGCUGCUCCAUCUUCUCCCUGGGAAGGGUCACACAGGGCACCUGAAUUCACUGAGGGAAGGCAGUGAUCCCAUCAGGGUUGUCAAAGGUGACAAAGAUGGCAUCUCUGCUGGCGAGCUGUUGGCUCCAAAAGUGGCAGCUGUGCUGUCACACACAUCUGGACAGUGGUGCCUCAUGCGUGCAACCAUUUCUGACACUUCUCUGCUCUGUGUCGCAGGGUUUGGCUCACUCAGGGGAAGUGCUGCACGUCUCUGAGCAGCUCUCUCUGCUAAAGUCAGCAAGUUUUUACUUUUCUCUUUGUAAGGUUAUAAAAGCCAAUUGUGAGAUGUCUUAUCCCUUUGAAUUUACCGGAGGAAGCACUUUACAUGAGGGACCUUCUGUGAGAUGGCCAGGUGGGCCCAGCUCUCUCCCUAAACACCUGCAUGGAAAAGUCCAGAGACCUUAA